AUUGAACGCUGGCGGCAGGCCUAACACAUGCAAGUCGAGCGGAUGAAGGGAGCUUUUUCCUGGAUUCAGCGGCGGACGGGUGAGAAAUGCCUAGGAAUCUGCCUUGUAUUUGGGGAUAACGUCCGGAAACGGGCGCUAAUACAGCAUACGUUCUGAUGGUGAAAGUGGUGGAUCUUCGGACCUCACGCUAUCAGAUGUGACUAGGUCGUAUUAGCUAGUUGGUUGGGUAAAGGCCUACCAAGGCGACGAUCCGUAACUGGUCUGAGAGGAUGAUCAGUCACACUGGAACUGAGACACGGUCCAGACUCCUACGGGAGGCAGCAGUGGGGAAUCUUGGACAAUGGGCGAAAGCCUGAUCCAGCCAUGCCGCGUGUGUGAAGAAGGUCUUCGGAUUGUAAAGCACUUUAAGUUGGGAGGAAGGGAAGUAAGUUAAUACAUUGCUGUUUUGACGUUACCAACAGAAUAAGCACCGGCUAACUUCGUG
rnacentral:rRNA from 1 species